GGAGCUUCCCAGCAUGCUGUCAAAUCUCUGCCGCUCUGUAGGAGCAGCAUCUCAGAGCUUACUUCUCCCUAAGGAAAGGGUGCAAUUAGCUUGGCAGAGGUGCCCAGGCCUGCAUCUUCCAGGCUGGCCUCCAAGCUGCUGUCACCUACCCCAUCUUCUCUCUGAUGGCCACCAGGAAGUUGCCUCACUCCUCCAGGUAGCCAAGGUGGACCUGCAGCAGCCCUGCGUGUUUACAACAGUGGCAUGGGUUUAAUUUUGGGCUGUCGAGCUGCGUGGGAGCGCUGGGCAGCUUUGGAGUUUCUCUGCCCGUGCUGGUGAUGGAGGAGACGUCGUCCAGACGCACAGUUGUGCGGAGAUGCAGAAGUGCCCGCUGAGAGAUGGAGGCCGACUCACAGCCGCUCUUCCACAGAAUCAGAGGAGCUCUGCUGCAUCGAUGGCAGGGAUGCUCCGCUGAUUUGCAUCCUGCCGAAGCCUUGGCCCAGGAAGGUGCAUUAGUGGCUUAAUGCAACCAAAUCCUUAUGGGAUCUCACCCCCUUUAGGGACUGGAAGGGGCUCUACGGUCUCCCUGAAGGACUGAUGGGAAGAUGGGACAAACAUCCUGCUGGCUCCAGGAGCUCUAAACGGCUGGGGAGAAAGCGGCGACCGUUGCAAGCUGGUGCGUUGGGCUGCACCGUUGGCCCUUCUCACUGGCUCCACUGAACUAUAUCAGGACAAACAGUAUCCGGCCUGAAAAGCACACACCUUGCAUGGAUGACGACGGAACGCAUCGAUUCCUGACUCUGCACACUUCCAGCACACAACUAGAGGAGGAAUGCUGGAAGUUUCAAAGCCCCAAGCUUUAACCCUGACAGACCUUUUGAAUUACACCCAUGGACAAGAUCCCUGCAAGCUCAGAAGCCAGACGAGCGGCUCUUCGCAUCUCGAUCCCUGCGCCUUGCUGCAGUGACCUUCCCGGGGCAUCGCUCCCUGCUCCUCCUUGGCUACCAGCAUGACGGACCCACCAGGAUGACCCUGGGACCAGCUCCCAUCUAUUUGCUGUGGCGUGUGGAGGAUGUGGCGGGGAUGGACUCACCUUCCAUAGAGAACAGGAAGAAUGGGUUUGGGGAAAGCAGGGGAUUUAUUAAGUCUUUUGGAAGAAUGGAUUUAGAGACUGCAGGACAUGUCCAGCCAGGAGGAAAUUAUUUAGUGGUAGGCUGGUAUUUGUUCCAGCUUUAGAAUCUCAUGCUGCCCAUUCCUUUGCACUUCAUUAAACUGCCCUUCCAGCCACCCGCCUGAACUCAGAACCACUGCGGGAUGAGCUAUAAAUUACUGCUGUCGGCCCCAUGAUUCCCAUGCCCUCCUGAACACCAUCUUUUGCCCUGGACGCUCAGACAUGAGCCAACCAGGGCAGGGCAGGAGGAUCAGAGAGGAAAAUGAGAUCAACGGGAGGGUGAACUUCGGGAAUGACAUGUUGGACAGGUCUCCAGUGGGGCCUCUGGUAAUGGGCCAGGAUGUAUCCCAAAGGUCGGGUACCAUGUCUGGGUGUCAAAGCGGGGAGAGGUGAGAAGGUUGAUGUGUGGAUGUGCGUGCAAACAUAUUUAUUACCUCUUCAGGGUUGCCUUACAUUCAAAAUUCAUGGUACAGCCUCUCUUCCAGGAGUGUUUCCAGGAUCCAGUGCUUGUUUCCAGGACCGCAAAGAUGACUCUGGUAAACGGCAUGCAGAGAGUUUCUCCCCAGCCCUUGCACUGUUCUGCCUGGACUGAGGUUCUCCUCUGGUCUGUCCCCUCCUCCCUGUGGCUCCCGUCCGUCCUGCUUGUUUUCUGCAUUCUGCAGAGCUGGCCGGGCAAUGUGCUUUAAUAUUUUCUUCUGAAUGAAGUUUCCUACAGUAGUAAAAAAGGGGAAAUGUGGUGUGUGCUGCAACUGAGAAAUGUCCAUGGCCUACGGCUCUUCCCCAUGUGCUCCUCCUCCCUGGAAGCAUGCGGGUACCUAUACAGGUAGGUAUGGCAAAGCCCCUGCAUCCCCCUGGUCCCCAUUCAUUGUCAGUUGUGCCCAGACCUCUUGCCAAUGGGCAAUGCCUGGGGGAGGCUGGGGAGCACCCUGCAACGUGGGACCCCACUGACAACCUCCAGAUGGGUCUUCUCCAGCCAUUGGAGAAGAAGAUGACACGCUCCCCCUUGUUCCUCACCGACAUUAGCUCCAAGCAGAUGGUCCUGUGAUCCCCACCAGGACGCAUGAUGUAUUAGAGCCUUGCUCUGGUCCAGGUCCCUUUCACUGAUCUCCACUCUCAGCCCCACCAAAAGAAGACUCAAAGCUCCCAAACAGUCAAUGCAAGUCAGAGCGUGGGCCUUCAGGCACUGGUACUCAAGCUCACCUGCCCGUGCUUGCACACUAAGAAAGCCUGGGUGCUCAGCCUCCGUAGAACACGUACCUUCCUAUUGCUCUGCAGAGCAAUUCCUCGUGAAGUUUGUCUCUGAUACAAAAACCACAGCAAGGCAAUAUCAGCCGUGGCCGGUUCCUGCCUGCUGAUGCUGUCAAGGUGGGCAAUAAGGAGAAGAAAAUUGAGCUAUAAGGGGAGAAGGAGGCCAUGGGCAGAACAGUCAUCUCCUACGCCCUAAAUCAGAUUGAUCUGAGGAGGAGCAAUGAGGAGGAGGCACAUGAGGAGGAACUUCUUUCCUUUGAGGGUGGCAGAGCCCUGGCACAGGCUGCCCAGAGAGGUGGUGGAGUCUCCGUCUCUGGAGACAUUCCAAACCCACCUGGACGUGUUCCUGUGCCACCUGCUCUGGGUGACCCUGCUCUGGCAGGGGGGUUGGACUGGAUGAUCUCCAGAGGUCCCUUCCAACCCCUGCCAUUUUGUGAUUCUGCUCUAUGUCAGUGUUACAGGGCUGUGAUGUCUUAGGGUCGGUUCAUCUCAGAUGAAGGGUGAUACCUCCUUGCAGGCUGUUGAAGCCUUAGCACCAGCUAACCCAGCAGAAAGGGGCAAGCAAGGAUCUUAAAGGGAGAUAAGUGACAGAGGGACAAUUCUGGAUGGCAAACAGCUGCUCUUGGAGGGGUCUCUUCUGCUGCUUCGCUCUGCCUGUGGCUACAAGCCUCCUGUUUCUUGUAGAAAAGUCGUGAGGCUUUGAAAUGUCUGUUUACAACCCCUUUGUCCCCCUCCUGUUGUCAUCUGAUCACUGGUGUAGGAAUCCAUGCUUAAGCGGGUCACGUAAAGGGAAGAAACAGCUUCCCAAUGUGGGAUGGGUGGAUCGUGCCAGGGAGGCACCAGCUGAGCAUUUUGUCCAGCUCCCAGGCAGCUAACGAGCUUCUGACUGGUAAUGUGGUAGGGCACGGUGGCUUCAGAGAGAGGACAGUCUCCAAUGACACCCAGACAUGGGCCGUGCUCCUAACAGAUACAGAGCAACUUCUGCGCUGCAACAUGGAGCUGACCCAAAAGGGCAGCGAAUUCCUCAUGAACCUCUCUAGGAACUGGACCCUUGCAUGGCCGCACGCCGUCUUCACUGCUGCAAAAAAUAUUCGUCCUCGGUGUGCUUUCACAUCAGCGACGAGCUGGCUGGCGUUCCUCCUCACCCGCUGUGCAGCCAGCACUGGGCAGAGACUCCUCCUGGGGUCCCCGUGACUCCCCGGCGGCGCUCAGCUAAUCUGCCGGAUUAUAGUCAUUAUAUUUAACCAGAUUAGACGACUGUUUCUGCAGUUACUGUUACUGUUUUGCACUGCUCAUAUUUAUAGGGUGCCCUGGUCAUAUUUAUAGGGCUGCAGAAUCGAGUUACAACUUCAAGGGCUCCAGCCAUGGCCGCUGUAGGUCAGAGUAACCCCGGAUAAAGCCGCACUGGUCUCGCUUUGAGCAUCACCCAUUGGUACCAGCGCUUCCAGGGGGCCUUGGUGGCUCCUCGCUGCAGUGACAGCGUUUUUGCACAGCAAAUAGAAACCCUGCCUCCCACACCUCGAAUUGUGUUUGACAGCAGGGUAGCGUACCCAGACCACCCCAUCUGGGGGAAUGGGACCGGGGAGAAGGUCUUAAACUCUUCUGCCUGAAGAGGGGGCAAGUUCACCCGGCCGUCAGUCCCUGCAAGCCUGGCAACUGGAAAAAGAAAUCUUUAAACCGCCUUACAAUAUCUUGGUUGUCUUUGGGGCUGGAGCCCUGUGGGUUUGGUGACCAGGGCGUGCCAUUUGUCACAGCCCAGGCUGUGCUAGAUACCUGUGCCACCAGGCUUUUGGCUCAUCCAGCAAAGCGGGCGCUCUGCACUUUUUGGCGAUGCUGUGGGGCACUUCAGUGCCACCCCGGAGCAGAUAUCACAAGGAAAGGCGCAUUCAAGAACCAAUACAAGCUUUGCCAGACGCCCUGGGUUUGCACAAGGAGGGAGUGAGGCAACCCCGCUGCUCGUCCUGACCCGGCUGGGGGUGUUUGUGUGGGCACGGAGAAUAACCCCCCUCAGAUGUUGGGCUCAGCCGCAGCAAGCAGCACUGGGUAUGGACCAACACUCAGCUAAAUGUGGACCUCCAGUUUGCUCAGGUCUUGCUUGUCAAGACACCAUCUUCUUCAUGUCCAUCUUCGAGUCUGGAGAACGUCUUUGAGGGGGCGCACACAAAGCUCCUUGUUAGGUGGACUUGAGGAUGAUGAAUAUUGAAAAGUGUUAAGAAAUUGAGCCCCUUCACCACGAUCUCUUUAACUGCAGCUGAUCUUGGCUGUGCAACCACGCUGCACGUUCGGAUGAGCUAAAAUUAACUGUGUUCCCAUGCAAAGGCUGUGGUGAAGCUGCGCUUGGAGCAAUGCAGUGCUACGAACUGCUGCUCCUGGUUGUUAGGUGUUAGCGCAUAGUCAGAGCUGUCCCAAAGGUGAACCUUUUCAAAAGAAGCCUGCCUGGAGGCAAGGGUGGGCAAAAUGAAGGCUCGGGCUGUGCAAUGGCCAAGGCAAAGACCCUGGGGCUUCUCUCCAUCCCCUUUGGGCUUUUGGCUGCUCACCUCCUUGCAAUGGCAUCAGCCCAACCUGGUGCUUGCUGCUGGAGGGACGAAAAACCCAUGAGCCCAUCAGCAGCCAUCCCAUCCCAAUAUUCCAAUGAACAAGUGGGAGGAUUGAAACACCAAAGCUGCGGCUGCUCCCUGAGAGCCGGGGAGGGACAUGGUCUGACUGAGCCAAAAAGCUGGCUCUGGGGUGAUGCUGGGGACUUUUGGGCAAUGCAAAGGGAAAAAACAGCUCUUUCCUCAGUGUCUGGCUGCUUAUGGGUGGUAGUCGGAAGAGCAAAGGCACCUCCAUUGCUUGGAGACCCUGGGCAUCCUCCAGCCCCACGGCAAGGUGCGCAGCAGGGACCAGCCCGCCCUGCAGGGCCACGACUGACACUCCAGCAUGGAGAUAAGCUCUUUGGAAUUAAUGAGGAACUCCAGCACAUGCAGUAAAAAUAAGGAAACAGCAGAUGAAAAAUAAAUCACUUGGAGGAGCCUCCGGCCGGGAGGCUCCCGGCUGCCCGGGCUGACUGAGCCCUGAUUUGUGACCUGACCUCGGCUGCACUCAUUGAACUCCUCGGGCCCCGGCUCGCCUGGCUGGAAAACCAAGUAGAAUAAAAAGCAGGACGUCAAGGCUAAGCUUAGCUUUUCCUUCAGCAGAUAAAUCACGGGGAGAUGAGGAAAUUGGUGGUGUUUGUUUGCAAACAGCUCUCUUUCAGCGUGCCCAGCCUUCCUGAACAGGGCGGCUGUGCCAGGCAGGUUUCAUGGCCGGUGUGGGAGGACAAGAAGCAAACCCUCUGUGCUAUCCUUGGCCUGGUAGGAAGGUGACAGAGAGUUAGCUCAAAGAGCCAGUCACAGCAGCAGGGAGGGGGAGCGGGGCAUAUACCAGAGAUGUGCAAAGGUAAGAGUGGAGGGACCUUCUGCCUUCGGCUCAUGCAAUAUUUGCACCAUGUCCUUGGCACUUGGGUCAC